AUGCCCCCAGUUGCUGUGUCUCUGCACGUUGAAGCCACAGGGGCCGCG
rnacentral:precursor_RNA from 1 species